UUUUUCCGAGCAUCGUUUAACUUAGAUUUAGUCGAAAACUAUUCUCUUAGAUUACUGGUUUCGAAAAGCUCUGUUCUAGAUUGUGUUAUUCCGAGCCUAUAAUAGAGCACUACAUAAACAAUUUAAUUCGAGCUCCUUAAGUGGUGUUAUCCUACAUCUCAUAAGCAGUUGUGUCCAUCCCCUUGUGAGGUCGUCCUCGUGCAAACCCUUGUUGAGCUACAAGUGAGAGAGAAUGUUAAAGUAUUGAGUUUUGUGUGGUCUUACAUUCAAGUUAAGCCCCUUUGCCUAUUGCUAGCUGAUUUUAGGUUGGAUGCUAAUCUCAUGUGAGGUUGACCACCCUUUUGCUUAGCGUUCUUUAGUUUCUUAUUUCCCUUUGCUCCACAGGCCAUAUUGGAGAUGCUAUUUUCCAAAUCCUCAAGCAUUAGAAUCUUUGCUGCUAAAAGAUCAUGCCGUAGCUAUGAAUCAGUGAACGGUGUUUGACUCAGUAUGAACCCGGAAAGGUUGUUCCUGCCCAUAGACCUUCCGAAUUUUCUAUACCAUCAACCUCUGCUAUACAUACAGGACCAAGAGUGUGGAAUUCCAAUUCCAGUUGCUGAAAUUAAAUCAGAGUUAUUGUAAGAAGAAAUACGUGAAUUAAGUCAAGACUUAAUCGAUAAUUUUUUUAAUUA